UACGUAGGGGGCGAGCGUUGUCCGAAGUUACUGGGCGUAAAGCGCGCGUAGGCGGCUUUUUAAGUCUGGUGUGAAAGGUUCAGGGCUCAACCCGAACAGUGCACUGGAUACUGGAGAGCUUGAGUUAGGGAGAGGAGAGUGGAAUUCCUGGUGUAGCGGUGAAAUGCGUAGAUAUCGGAAGGAACACCUGUGGCGAAAGCGGCGCACUGGACCAAAACUGACGCUGAGGCGCGAAAGCUAGGGGAGCAAACAGG
rnacentral:rRNA from 1 species